ensembl:misc_RNA Vault Vault RNA
GGGCUGGCUUUAGCUCAGUGGUUACUUCGACAGUGCUUUCCAUGGUUAGGUAAACCAACCUCUCUGGGUGGUUCGAGACCCGUGGGCCCUCUCCAGUCGUUUU